CAAUAGCGUAUAUUAAAGUUGUUGCGGUUAAAAAGCUCGUAGUUGGAUUUCUGUCGAGAUCGGCCGGUCCCCACAACGUGGGCGUAUCUGGUUCUGUCUGGGCAUCCUCCUAGAGAACGUGCUGCUCUUCACUGAGUGGUGCGGUAUCUAGGACUUUUACUUUGAGGAAAUUAGAGUGUUUACGGCAGGCCAAUGCCUUGAAUACGUUAGCAUGGAAUAAUAAUAUAGGACCUUGGUUCUAUUUUGUUGGUUUCUAGGGCUAAGGUAAUGAUUAACAGGGAUAUUUGGGGGCAUUCGUAUUAACAGGUCAGAGGUGGAAUUCUUGGAUUCUGUUACGACGAACUAAUGCGAAAGCAUUUGCCAAGGAUGUUUUCAUUGA
rnacentral:rRNA from 1 species